AAGAACAAAGCCUCCCAGGCAGACAGUCAGCAGAUACAGAGCUGGGUGAGGGAGCGCAUGAGGUCUACAGUGAGGCGGAGAGUGAGGCUGGAGAGCCAAACGCAAAUGGUGAAUCCAGAAAGGAUGGCGUCUUGCACCAGAGCGGACAUGGAAAGAGGCUUUCAGACUUGAAGACGCAGUAUGGGUGAAGCCUAAAAAACCCCAAGCCAAAAUUUUAAUCAAGUGUCCUGUGUUUCUAAUCCUCUACCUGCAUUGCACAAGUACAUGUAGAAAAUCCUUGCACACCAUUUUCUGAUAAUUCUUGGGUGUUGUGUGCAUGUCUGUUAAAUGAUAACCUUUGCAUAAA